CAAGUACUCCCUCCGUCUGAAAAUACUUGUCAUCAAAAUGGAUAAAAAAGAUGUAUCUAGAACUAAUAUACAUCUAGAUACAUCCCCUUUUAUUCAUUUUGAUGACAAGUAUUUCCGGACGGAGGGAGUACUAC
rnacentral:pre_miRNA from 1 species